ensembl:lncRNA
AUAUGUGGGCAGCAUGAAAGAGUCUACUGCUGUUUAUUGAUCUCACAGGAUUACAGGUUAUUUUCAGACAGAAACAAAGGAGAAACUGAGACCACAUAGGCUGGGUUUAAACAGGCAGCCCAAUUAUAGGCAAAAGAUCAGAUCUGAUUAGUUAAAACAUCAGAAUUGUGUUGUCUGUGUAAACAAAGCCUAAGGCUUAACUUCUACCUGAAGUCUUUAUAAUAGCUGCUUGAACAAACAGGUGGCAUGUGCAGAAACCUUUCAUUGGAAGUUGUCCUGAAACAUGAGCUGUUUUCUUCUCUACCCUUAGAGUCAGUGACAGACCAUAGAGAUGGAUAAAAGAGAACUGUGAUUUUAUAUAUUUAGUAUGGACAUAGCCAUUGCAGGCUUCAGCCCACUCUCACACAUACAGAGAUGCAAUGUCUAUGAAAGACUAUUGGCCAGACCAUUAAAUGAGGACCGUACACAGCUGAAUGCUUCACUGGAACCAUGCAGUUCAACAGGAGAUUCCCAUGUCAUCUCGUGAUGUAAACAUGUUUCUGGAGUUUGAGUUUAUUUGUUAAUUAUUGGGAAUCCAAAUUCACUGCCAAAGCCAAUAUGUUCUGUCUAAGCCUACAGGUGGUGGUGGUAAUACAGUCAGCUGACAGCCAGCCAGACAGUCCACAUAAAACAAGGGUGUGACUGUACACCGACAGAAAUUUUAACGGUAUAUGUAGGCUAACCAACUGAAGUUGUGCGAAUUAUAAAAUAAUACCAAUGAGAUUGCCCACUCAUCCCAAACUCAUUACAUCAGGGCCAAUCAGAAGGCAGAAUGGGGCGUAUUGUCCAAUUAGAUGUUCAAUGGUUCACAGGAGUGUUGCCAGUCAACCAAGGAAAAGUACUGUAGGUGUUCAGGAAUCACUACAACAAUACCUCUCAAUGGUUACUUACUCUCACAAUAGAAUGGAUGCACUUUACCGACGGACAGCAAUAAAUUAAGCCAAUCUACGUUUUACAUCAAGUCAGAUCAGAAUUAUAAAACGUUUUAAAUAAUUUUAAUUCACAAAUAUAUA